UACGUAGGGACCAAGCGUUGUUCGGAAUUACUGGGCGUAAAGGGCGCGUAGGCGGCCUUCUAAGUCAGACGUGAAAUCCCCAGGCUUAACUUGGGAACUGCGUCUGAUACUGGGAGGCUUGAGUGCGGGAGAGGGAUGUGGAAUUCCAGGUGUAGCGGUGAAAUGCGUAGAUAUCUGGAGGAACACCGGUGGCGAAGGCGACUUCCUGGCCUGUUCUUGACGCUGAGGCGCGAAAGCUAGGGUAGCAAACGGG
rnacentral:rRNA from 1 species